GGAGAGGCGGAGAAGGAACCGAGCGGGCAGUUGAGGGAAAUCUCGGAGGAGGUUACCUGCGAUCAAACUGGGGCUGCGUAGUGUUAGGGUCAGGCAGCUUUGAAGUGGAAUCCGGAUCCGCCACUCUCGCUGCGUGAUAUUGGGCAUGCCAUCAAAGCGCUCUCAACCGAACGUCUCGGGUAAAAUGGGAUUAGUGAAGUCUACCAAGGUAGUUGUGAGGAUCAAAAGAGAUAACGCGGAAAACGCCUCACCUGGCACGUUAUAGAUCCUAAAUGCCUAGCUAUUAUUAUGGAGCCCACAACCUCCAUAUUUUACAACUGGGAACACGGGACUCAAAGAGAUUAAAAAACUAAAUGACUCACUCAAGGUCAGGUAGUGGUGGAGACCCAGGCUUCAAGUUCAAUACUCUUUGUCCUACAAAGCCUUCCCUUAAGCAGGGGUAAUAAAACAUUUCAGAAAAACCACCUUAAAGAGCAUCGCUUGUGAUCUGUGGAUCACUUGGUAGUCCCCACCUCCCUCCCAUCCCCGCAAAGGUUUAGAGCUGGACAUAAGGGCCUUGGUGCAACUUUUGGAGGGCAGUUGUUCAGCUUCUGAAUUUGCAUCUGAACGAGCAAUAAGGAAUUUUCUGGGAAGUUAAGAAUUUCCAAUAAAUCUUGGACUACUCUAAAAUGCACCAGAAAUUACGUGGUCACACUCGUGCAGUGAAAGAAGGCUUUGGCAGUAGCAUAAGACAUUAAGCAGAAGUAGGAAAUGCAGUGAGGAAGAAGUUGUAAUGUUUUCAACAGCUGCCACUAUGGAUCUAGGAUGAGAGCUUUCCACAUGUUGUUAAGAAUGAGAGACAGAUUACUC
rnacentral:lncRNA from 10 species